CAGCAAACACCAAUUAGCCUUCUUCGAAGAAAGAAGAGCUCUUUAUUUCCUCUAUUUCUCUCAAAAUACCCAACACUUCAAUACCCAAAAAAAAAAUCAUAAAACAGGUAGAAAAAAACUGGGAUUAAACCUUUACUUACUUCCGCUGCUUAUCUCUUUAAUCUGUGAUUUUAUAAUCUAAUUUUUUUAUUAAUUUGAGGGAGAAAAAAAACGAUAUUGUUCCUUCCUAUAAUGCCCAAUUUGUUGCGGGCUAGGGUUUUCAUCCGGAUCAACGGAUUGGGGGAAUUUCCCGAAUUGGGAACUGAUUAGGGUUCUGAUCAGAGUAUGAAUGAGCUCAACCUCUCGUUUUUGCAGUAUCGGAUUGAGGAGCUAUUUCUCUCGAGCUUUGGUUUUUAAACGGAUUGCUUAAGGGAAAUGGUUAUUGGAAAGCUUUUGGACGUUGAAGAAGAUUGCUUUCAUGAUUACUUGCGUAGAUAGUGAUUCAAAAGCUUGAGGAUUUAGUUGUUUAGACAAAAGGGUGUUUGGGUUUUUAGUGAUAUUUUUAUGUGGUUGAUCUCAGUUGGUGGAUGAUUUUGGCAUUGGGUUGUGUUAUUGGGAGAAGAAGGUGAUGAUUCUUUAUUGUGCUGCAAACAACAGAGAGUGUCAGAUUUUACUGGACUAAUUUUGUUUCUUAAAACCCCAUUUGGUUUAUCAUAGUUUUUGAGCUAGAAUUCUUGAUCAGAAGAGCAUUCUUGAAGUUAUAUUUCUAUUUUGGGGCAUUGUUGAAGUAGCUUAGGGAAAGAUAAGAGUAGGUUUAGCAGUGAUUGGAGACUUUGCUGCGGUGAUUUUGUCAUUCGAAGUGAUUUGUUUAGUGUUAGAUAGUUGAAUUGGGGCUACAUUUGAGGUUAGGGAGAUUAAAGAGCUUGGUGGAUUUAGGAACUUCUUUGAGCUAUCGAGAGUGACAGGGAGUUCAUGAGGAAACAUUGAAGCUGGAAAUGUAUGCAGGGAUAUGGUGCAUGGAUAGGAGCAUAGUUACUUGUUGUUCUCUUUCUGGAGCAUUGCUACUGGAAGAUAAUCCAAGUGUUUUUGCGUUCGGAAGGCAUUAUCGUUUCGUGUUCUAAACUUCUGUGAAAUGUCGCGUUGCUUUCCUUUCCCACCACCAGGAUAUGAAAAGAAGGCUAGGACCAAUGACGUGGACUUGCUAAAUAAGG